UUUUCCUACGGGAGGCAGCAGUGGGGAAUAUUGCACAAUGGGGGAAACCCUGAUGCAGCGACGCCGCGUGAGUGAAGAAGUAUUUCGGUAUGUAAAGCUCUAUCAGCAGGGAAGAAAAUGACGGUACCUGACUAAGAAGCCCCGGCUAACUACGUGCCAGCAGCCGCGGUAAUACGUAGGGGGCAAGCGUUAUCCGGAUUUACUGGGUGUAAAGGGAGCGUAGACGGCAGAGCAAGUCUGAAGUGAAAGCCCGCGGCCCAACUGCGGGACUGCUCUGGAAACUGUACGGCUGGAGUGCAGGAGAG
rnacentral:rRNA from 1 species